rnacentral:rRNA from 1 species
UUUUUGUAAAUAAUAAAAAGUUUAAUCUGCCCACUGAAUUUAUUUAAAGGGCUGCAGUAUAUUGACUGUACAAAGGUAGCAUAAUCAAUAGUCUUUUAAUUGAAGACUUGUAUGAAUGAUUUGAUGAAAUAUAAACUGUCUCUUUAUUAAAAAUAAAAUUUAAUUUUUUAGUUAAAAAGCUAAAAUAAUUAUAAAAGACGAGAAGACCCUAUAGAGUUUUAUAUUUAUUUUAUUUAGAAAUUAUUUAUAUAAUUUAAAUAUAUAAUAAUUUAAAUAUUUUAUUGGGGUGAUAGAAAAAUUAAAUAAACUUUUUUUAAAUUUUAACAUUAAUUUAUGAAAUUAUGAUCCAUAAUUUAUGAUUAAAAGAAAAAAUUACCUUAGGGAUAACAGCGUAAUUUUUUUUUUUAGUUCAAAUAAAAAAAAGAGUUUGCGACCUCGAUGUUGGAUUAAGAUAAAAUUUAAAUGCAAAAGUUUAAAAUUUUUGAUCUGUUCGAUCAUUAAAAUCUUACAUGAUCU